CUCGCAGUUCUGCAGAGUUCCUCUCUUUCCGUUCGUUUCCUGAACCAGCAGCCCGUCUACGUGGUCAGCGGCCAGAUCCUGAUCCUGCAGGUCCAGAUAGACCUGGACUCUCCAGACGACUCCAUCACUAAAGUGAUAUGGGAGCAUCAGGCCAAGAGGAAUUCUGGGAAGACUGUAGUGGCUGAAUAUCCCACUAAGAGCUCUGGUGGUCGGGUGGCUGUAGAAAAAGGCGUAGCCGUGAUGAAGCUGAGCAACUACCAGAGAACAGACAGCGGGGAGUACACCGUAACCGCCUCCGACAGACGGGGGAACCAGAAAUCAGCAACCUGCACCGUCCACGAGUACGAGGCUGUUCAUCAUGUGUCGGUGAUGGUGAACGUGUCUCACGCCGUGCUGCACUGCCGCGAGGCGUGGGGAACCGAUCCCACGUUCAGCUGGUUCCAUGAACAGGCCGCCGUGACCCAGGCUGUGGGUAAAGUGCUGGACAGUGGGAGCACUCUUCAUCUCUCUAUCCCACUCUGUGGACACUUCACCUGUGUGGUGUCCAACAAGCUGGGCCACAGCUCCGCCACCUACACUGCAGGAAAAUAUAUAUAUGUAUAUAUUUAUAUAUAACACACAUUGUGAAGUGCAAAGGCAGGAAAACCGUGGGUCCCCAGUCUGGGGGGAAGGUGCAGCGCCGGUCUGUCCCAGCUGGCCCACGUUGGACCGGCAUAAAGUCCCUACCUCAGCCUUCACUCAUGCGAUAGGUUGAUGUUAAGAGAAAGGCUUAGACAACACGAACCUAA
rnacentral:lncRNA from 1 species